AGUAGGGCGAGGCGGGCGAAAGCUGGGAGGAGGAGCUGGGGUGUAACAGUGUGGGUGGGUGGAGGGAAAAGCUGGGAGCUGGAGCUGGGGAGGAGCGUGGCUGGGCUUUAGAGGAGGUAGGCGGGAGUGUUAGGAUACUUGGGCGGAGGAGGGUAGGACUGGUAGGAUAGCUGGCAGGGGCAGCUGGGUCUGAGUAGCGCGGGACAGGUGGGACAGAUGGGAGGAGGAGCUGGGGGAUAGUGGGCGUGGCUUGGGCGGAGCUACGGUGGAGCGGGGCGGAGCUGGCAAGGCCGGAAUAUUGGACCUUGGGGACCGCGCGGGGCUGAGCAAAGGUAUCUCAGUGGCGCAGACCAGGCAGUGCCCUUUAUAAGCGUCCAGUCCGCGCCGCACUCGUAGGCAACAAAGUGGCAGCCCCAGGGUCCUCAGCGACCUGAGGUGACCCUUAAAAUGGACCCCGGAGAGCACGGAGGCGGGAAGAGGGUGGUACCUGCAGGUUGAAUCCCGCACCUCCGGGCUGAACGCCCAGGCACCCUGGGAUGGCCAGUGGGGGCCUGGGGGACGGACUUUAUAUGAACGUAUUUUGCAGAGCCUGCCUCUGCCAGAGGAGACACUCACUAGAUGUAAAUGAUGGCGAUGAACUGUCCAGUUUGAAUCAUCCAGGAUUCAUCGACUCUCUACCAUGAUGAGCUACUGUACCACGCUGGGCUUCAGCAGAUGAGUGACAUAGGCCCUGACCCGGAGUCGGUGCAUGCUAGUUGGAUAAGAAAGGCAAAAACAUUUCAACAGAAAACCCUGUGGAAAUUGAGACAAGUUAUCUUCUCAAAGUCCUGAACUCCCAUUCCUACUUCAGAAGGAACUCCUCUGUUCACAGCAGCUAAAGCUAGGCCGAAGUCCAGUUCUUUCCCAAGGAAAUUCUGUUUGGAUGUUGGACGCACACCUUUCCAAGCAUUGUGUUCUUCAAAUUUUGUGCCAACCCUCUAUUUAAUCAUUAAAAGGACUGUUAUUUUAAGUAUCAACUACCUCAGUAACAGUGUUCGACUGAAAUCCUACAGAAUGGUGACUUUGCCCAGAGUGUGACUUCAGUGAGCUGGGAUAUAGAGGAUGGAAAGUGUCAUGUCAGUACAGCAAGAACCCAAGGAGAGGAAAAUAAAGUAAGUGGAAGAAAGUAGCCUCCCACCUCCAAGGUGACCCGCAGGAUUCAUGGAUACAGUAUGCUAGCUGAACCUGAGACAGACUGAAACUGCUGUCUACAUUGUUCUAACCAACUGAGCCACAGUACUUCAGGGAUUGAUGAUGGAACAAAAAGGUGUGUCUCCAUGUAAGGUUGUAGUCCAAUAGAGAAGGAAACAAAAUCUGGGUAUGAAAUAUUUAACCUGAGAAGCAACAAGUUAAUCAGACCCAUGGAAGCAUUAUGUCGAUAUCGAGUAACUGUAAGGAGUAGAAAUUAUUUAAAUGCAUGCUCAAUAUCGUUAGCAUUUUUCUUGUUUAUUUUACUUUGUGGUUAAAGGUCGCAGAUAGGUGAAAAAAAAUGAAAAGGAAAUAUAUUACUGAGGUUUUACCUCAUCUCAAAAGGUUAUUUUCAUCACAGGACUUCUUUAAAAUAGGUAGUAACCAUUGUUAAGUAGAAAAAAAAUUACAAAAAAAAUUUUGACGUUUAUUUGUGUGUGUGUGUGUGUG